AGAGUAAGUCGUGCGGGGGACCACCUCCAAGGAAAAUUUACUGGAAAGAUUAAGAAAAUCUCCCUUGCAGAUGGACAACCCUAACUCGAAAAUUUCAAAUUACACUCUCAAUUUAUCACUUCUGAACAUCGCAUAAUAUACAAAAAUUCUAAAGUAUUCAGAGCUACUAAACACAAGCGGAAGCAAGAAAACACGAGUAGGUUGAACAGGUAACCUACUGGCGAAAACUGGCAGAAAUGCGGGUGACUAUGCCUCGUCUCCUACUAGAUCCAACCCGAACUCUGCAGACUGGGCAAUUUAAAACGAAGGGCCCAGGGGAAAACAUUUAAUAACGUUAGAGUGAGUGGACAAAAUAAAAUAAUAAAUAAAAAUAUUUAAUGUUUACCCCAAAUUAAUUCUAAGGAAAAAUCGAAUGCAUGCCGCAAGCGAUAAAACUUUUAUACCUAUAAAUAUCGAGCCUCUCAGACUCUAUUAAUAUAUGUAUGUAUUUACACUCGUCCAUACUCCCUAUAUAAAUUCAUGGGUCUAUAUAGGGCUACUACGCUCGCGUCCAACGCUCACGUCACGCCUUAAUGCGGUGCUACACUACGCCAUCAAGGUGGACAGACGGGUGUAUAAAUAUGUGUCCAUACCCCCUAUAUGAAUUAAACACUCAAAUGGGCUACUACGCUUACGUCCAACGCUCACGUCACACCAUAAUGCGGCUAUAUGCUACGCCAUUAAGGUGGACAGACACAUAUGGCUAGCUAGCAUUUUCUAUACAUACUCUCUCAUAAAUACAUAUUUAUAUCCACCGAAAAUCCCAUUUUCGGUAUCUCUCCAAAGAGAAAUAAAAAUCGUCAAAAAUUAAAAUGACGUCAAAAUACUCCACGACAUUAAUUAUUCAAUCGUGAACUUUAGCAUGCAUUUAUUUAAAAUAAACGUCCACUCACAAAUUAGGCCUAAGCCUGAUGUCGAUCUGGGGUCUCGUCUGCUCGAGCCUCCUCACGUCCUGUUCCAAAUAAAAUAUUAAUUUCCCAACCAAUAAUCCAAUAUUUAAUCAAAAUAGGCAAAAUUACCCGAGAGCCAUAAUUACGCUCAUUAUUGCCGUAACUUCGAUAUUCUUACAUCGGAACGAUCCGAACUUAAAUAUCAUACU
rnacentral:lncRNA from 1 species